ensembl:lncRNA
ACAACAUUGCUAUCAGCAAAGAUGAUUGGAGACGGUCUAUCUUGCUAGAAUAGUCACUUUUCUGCACGUCCUUUCUGCCCGCCCACUUCUGGUGAGUUUUUCACUUUCGCCGAGCAUUUUGACAUCUAACUAAGGUGUUUGGUGCAGUAUAACUCAAGUGUAAAAAUGUGCAUAAAACGAGUGGUCUAUUGUUGAAUGACAACACAUCAUUGAAGAAUCCCUACUGUUGACCAAUGAUGAUGAAGGGGAGCAGACUUCGGCUCCAGAUCUUCAGUUUGACUCGAGAAAAAUUUUUGUGCAAACAACCCAAAAAAACCUUGGAAGACCAAAACGAGGAAAGACAUAAUAUACGAACAAACUGUUCCGCACAAGAAGCAUGUGGACGCCUUUAGAUCCAUAAUUUCUCUCUCCCUGUGGCAUAGCUAGGUCUCUCUCUCUCUCCCUGUGGCAUAGCUAGAUCUCUCUCCCUGUGGCAUGGCUAUGUCUGUCUCCCUGUGGCAUAGCUAGGUCUCUCUCUCUCCCUGUGGCAUAGCUAUGUCUCUCUCCCUGUGG